AUUGAACGCUGGCGGCAGGCCUAACACAUGCAAGUCGAGCGGAUGAAGGGAGCUUGCUCCUGGAUUCAGCGGAGGACGGGUGAGUAAUGCCUAGGAAUCUGCCUGGUAUUGGGGGAUAACGUCCGGAAACGGGCGCUAAUACCGCAUACGGCCUGAGGGUGAAAGUGGGGGAUCUUUGGACCUCACGCUAUCUGAUGAGCCUAGGUCGGAUUAGCUAGUUGGUUGGGUAAAGGCCUACCAAGGCGACGAUCCGUAACUGGUCUGAGAGGAUGAUCAGUCACACUGGAACUGAGACACGGUCCAGACUCCUACGGGAGGCAGCAGUGGGGAAUCUUGCACAAUGGGCGAAAGCCUGAUGCAGCAAUGCCGCGUGAGUGAAGAAGGUCUUCGGAUUGUAAAGCACUUUUAGUAGGGAAGAAGAAAAGUAAGUUAAUACAUUCCUGUUUUGACGGUACCAACACAGAAAGCAACGGCUAACUUCGUG
rnacentral:rRNA from 1 species